rnacentral:lncRNA from 1 species
UUGUUCAUGAGGUCCCUACCAGGGCUUUGUCCGCCAUGGGAGAGAUGGUGGGGGGUGGGGUCUGAAGAGGCCUUAAAGAGGGCUAAUAGAACAAGGUGGUAAGGCUGCAAAUAUUGAGUGGUGAAUAGAAAGAAAUUGGGGUAUAGGGGUCAAAGGGGAGGUGUAACAAGAGAAAUAUGGAGUUGCAAGAGAGCUUACCGAGAGCCCUACUUACCGGCUGCUGAGUAUGCUUAGGGAAGAGAGACGAGCAUGGGUUUGAGGAGGCAAGAGAGGGAGAUAUUAAUGGGGAUGUAAAAGAGAGUAAAGAGGUA